UACGUAGGGGGCGAGCGUUGUCCGGAGUUACUGGGCGUAAAGCGCACGCAGGCGGUCCGUCGCGUUGGGGGUGACAGCUCUCGGCUAAACCGAAAGAGUGCCUUCAAAACGGAUGGACUUGAGGCAUCGAGAGGGACACGGAAUUCCGGGUGGAGUGGUGAAAUGCGUAGAGAUCCGGAAGAACACCAAAGGCGAAGGCAGUGUCCUGGCGAUGAACUGACGCUGAGGUGCGAAAGCUAGGGGAGCGAACAGG
rnacentral:rRNA from 1 species